CUCACUGGAGGCCCCCCCCCCUUCUCUCUCACACACGCCGCUGGGCGCGAGACCCUGCCCGCGCGGGGGCGCGCGCGAGGGAGGCGUUCUGCGCACAGAGCUGGGACAGGACUGGCUGAGGCCCCAGGUUUCUGCUCCAGCCACUGCUGGACGGGGGGGUCGGUGGGGGUGGGGCUAGCAUGUCUGGUGCAUAAACAAUGGCCCUACCAAAUUCAUGGCCAUGAAAAAUGCCUCACAGACCGUGGAAUCUGGUGUGGUCUCCCCUCGUGAAAUCUGUAUAGUAUAAGAUCUUCCUCCCUGCGUCAUUGGAGGUGGAUGUGAGCUGAAGAAUCAGGACAGCGGAUGGCAGCCAUCCUCGCGUGCAAGAAGCAGAAUGGGAUGCGGAGCCUAACAUGAAAGGUGUAGGAGGGAAAACUGACUUUAGUGCAAACCAAAGAAUCACUGCCUUGGAGUAG